GCUAUCAUUAUCUAAAGACAUUCGGGGGUCAAUCGAAGCUUGUAGCCGUUCCUCGUGGGCGUGACAGGUGGCUGAUAUCCUCCUCUUGAGAGGUGUAUGCCACAGUGCAGCUCCGGCAGCGCCAUCGCUCCGGUUGCCUCGCGUCUGCGGCGGACCAUUUCUUGGGAAACUCAGUGGGGGCAAAUGGAUGGCCUGCGAGCGAUCCCCGCGUCGGUUGCCAUGGAGGUACCCCGGGAAAAGAUCCAGGUCGAGUGUUCGGGCCGAGUUGCCCACACUCCAACCGUUUGACAACUCUUCCCACUCCCCAGUGGAGUGGACGGGGCCCUCCCCCCCGGACGGGAAGGAGGGUUCCCCGAUCAAGAUAGUUACCUGGUUGAUUCUGCCAGUAGUCAUAUGCUUGUCUCAAAGAU
rnacentral:misc_RNA from 1 species